UAUGGCCACAUCACGCCGAAACACCGGUUCCCGUACCAUCACCGAAGUUAAGCAACGUCGAGCCUCGUCAGUUCAUAAAUGGGUAACCGCUUGGGAACACCAGCUG